GAGAAGGGCGUUUGGUGAAUGCCUUGGCAGUAAGAGGCGAUGAAAGACGUGAUACCCUGCGAUAAGCUUGGGGGAGCCGGGAAUAGGCUUUGAUCCCAAGAUCUCUGAAUGGGGGAACCCACCUGAAAGUUUGUUAUAAUAGCCUUACGGCUGCUUAUAAUGGGCUUAACCAGGUACUUAUAGACUGAAUACAUAGGUUUAUAAGAGCAAACCCGGGGAACUGAAACAUCUAAGUACCCUGAGGAAAAGAAAU
rnacentral:rRNA from 13 species